rnacentral:lncRNA from 1 species
ACACAAAGUUUGACAUGGAAACUAUUAGAGCUGCAAUCUCUAUGUUCCUAGUUGGGGGUUCACAUGCAUUUAGUGUGAUAGAAGAAGUGGGGUUCAAAAAAAUGAUUGGUGCUGCUUGUCCUUAGUUUAAGAUUGUUAGUCGGUACACAAUUAGAAGGAAUAUCAUGGCAAUGUUUGAAAGAGAGAGGACUAAAUUGAGAGAAAUUAUCAGCAACAACCUUGGUAGAGUUAGCUUCACCAUGGACAAUUGGAAAUCAGAUGUGACAAAGUUUAGUUAUAUUUGUAUUACUUGUCAUUAUGUUGAUGAUGCUUGGAGACUGAACAAAAGGAUAAUAUGGUUUAAAAAGUUGAAUCCACGUUAUGAUGGGGCUACAAUUGCUGAUGAAGUCCAUUUAUGUUUUCGUGAGUGGAAGGUUGACACCAAAAUAAUGUGCAUGACUCUUGAUAAUGCUGCAUACAAUGAUUCAAUGGUCAACACUUUGAGAACUACAUUGCUGUCUAAAGGUGUGUUACCAUUGUUUGGAACUUUCUUUCAAGUCCGAUGUUGUGCACACAUUUUAAAUCUGAUUGUCCAAGCUGGUCUGAAACUUAUUGAUAAAUGUGCUGACAAGAUUAGAGAGGGCAUUCAAUAUAUCAAAAUUUCUAGCAAUCGUAUUCACAAGUUCUGUGAAACUGCCAAGAACAUUUACCAUUUGAAAGAAGAUAAAAGGCUGAGAGUAGAUAUGCCCGUCCGUUGGAAUUCAACAUACACAAUGCUUGAGAACGCUUUGUAUUUUAAAGAUGCAUCACUGUGCUUUGGUAAUAGGGAUGGCAUAUUCAAGUCAAACUUCUCUCUUACUAAUGAUGAAUAGGAAAAGGUUCGUAUCAUGCAUGAUUUCUUGAAAACUUUUUAUAAAGUCACAUGCACAUUAUCCGGGACAAAGUAUCCUACCUCCAAUUAGUAUUUCAAGUGUGUGUUCUUGGUUCAAUCAUGUGUCUUGAAGGCAUCUAGUGAAGGACAUGAGUUCAUGGCACCAAUGCUAGCUCCAAUGAAAAAGAAGUUUGAUAAGUAUUGGGCUGAUUAUAAUGUCUUCUUGUCUUGUGCUGCUAUCCUUGAUCCCCGUUGCAAGCUUGGUUUUGUUAAAUAUUGUUAUGGAAAACUUUAUGCCCCCGACGAGGCGGAACGUCGGAUGCAUGAAGUUAAGAAAACUUUGGAGAGUUUGUUUGCUGAAUAUAGUGAUGCUAUUGUUAGUCAAACAUCAUCAGAUGGUGCUACAAACAGUAGGGGAAGUAGGGGAGAUGGUUCUGAUAUGUUCGAUGACUAUGAGAGUUACAUUCAAUCUCAACGGACAAAUGUAGAUAGGUCUCAAUUGGAUCUUUACUUGGAAGAAACUCCUAGAAAAUUGACUGACGAGUUGGAUGUCUUGGAAUUUUGGAGCAAAUCAUCUACGUGAUACCCUGAGCUUGCAUCAAUGGCUCGGGAUAUUCUUGUUGUCCCCAUUUCUAGGGUUGCUUCGGAGCAAGCAUUUAGCAUGAGUCGCAAAGUUAUAACACCUAACCGAGCUUCACUUAAGCCUAAGACCAUCGAGGAUUGGUAUCGUUGGAAGAUGUCUCAGAAUAAAGGUACAAUCAAGUGUCUAUUGUUGUUUCAUAUUAACAUCACCAUUGCACACAUUACCAUUGAUUCCUGUAUUGUUUGUUUUGUAGAAAUGAGCACUACAGGAGGUGGACCUUCAAGUUCUCAUGCAGAUGAGUUAUCUUCAGAUUCGGUUUGUAUUCAUUCAUGUCUUUUCUAUCUAACUUACUUUGUUUACCAUAUAUCAGUUAUGCACUCCUUUAACACCUUGUCUUGUUUGUUGAUAUCAAACUUGCUUCCGUGCUUCAUGCCAUUCCUAUUUUUCUUAUUUUCAACUUGUGCUUUCAUCCAGGAAAAUGAUGAAGUUGAGAUAGCUUGAUGGAACAAGGAAGAGAUGGAUUCAAAGGAGUCAUCAGCUUGUGGCUUUCAACAUGCUAUUUGAUAUCUUUAUCAUGUAAUGGACUUGUUAUUUGGUAUGCUGUUAUGUAAUCGACUUGUUGAACUAUGUUGUGGACUUGUUGAACUAUGUUGUGGACUUAUCGAACCAUGUUGCGGACUUAUCAAACUAUGUUGCUUGUGUCUUUGGACUUGAGAAAUAUGCUGUUGUUAUUUAAUAAUGUAAUGAAUGGAUUACAUGUAUAUGUAUAUGCUGCUGUUUUGUGAAAUGCGGCUGUUUUGUGAAAUAUGUAUAUGCUGAUGUUUUGUG